GAUUAUCAACUUUCGAUGGUAGGAUAGAGGCCUACCAUGGUGGUAACGGGUAACGGGGUGUUAGGGCACGACACCGGAGAGGGAGCUGAGAAACGGCUACCACAUCCAAGGAUGGCAGCAGGCGCGCAAAUUACCCAAUCCCGACACGGGGAGGUAGUGACAAUAAAUAACAAUACGGGGUUCUUUAGGAUUUCGUAAUUGGAAUGAGUACAAUUUAAAUCUCUUAACGAGGAACAAUUGGAGGGCAAGUCUGGUGCCAGCAGCCGCGGUAAUUCCAGCUCCAAUAGCGUAUAUUAAAGUUGUUGCAGUUAAAAAGCUCGUAGUUGAAUUUCGGGAUCAAUAUGUUGGUCGUGCCUCGGUACGUACUAGCUUAUUGGUUUCUCCUUUCUGAAGAACCAUGAUGUCAUUUAUUUGGUGUCGUGGGGAAUCAGGACUGUUACUUUGAAAAAAUUAGAGUGUUUAAAGCAGGCUCACGCUUGAAUACAUUAGCAUGGAAUAAUGAAAUAGGACGUUUGAUUCUAUUUUGUUGGUUUCUAGGAUCGACGUAAUGAUUAAUAGGGAUAGUUGGGGGCAUUAGUAUUCAAUUGUCAGAGGUGAAAUUCUUGGAUUUAUUGAAGACUAACUACUGCGAAAGCAUUUGCCAAGGAUGUUUUCAUUAAUCAAGAACGAAAGUUAGGGGAUCGAAGACGAUCAGAUACCGUCGUAGUCUUAACCAUAAACUAUGCCGACUAGGGAUCGGAUGAUGUUAAUUUUUUAAUGACUCAUUCGGCGCCUUACGGGAAACCAAAGUGUUUGGGUU
rnacentral:rRNA from 1 species